AUUGAACGCUGGCGGCAGGCCUAACACAUGCAAGUCGAGCGGAUGAAGGGAGCUUGCUCCUGGAUUCAGCGGCGGACGGGUGAGUAAUGCCUAGGAAUCUGCCUGGUAGUGGGGGAUAACGUCCGGAAACGGGCGCUAAUACCGCAUACGUCCUGAGGGAGAAAGUGGGGGAUCUUCGGACCUCACGCUAUCAGAUGAGCCUAGGUCGGAUUAGCUAGUUGGUGGGGUAAAGGCCUACCAAGGCGACGAUCCGUAACUGGUCUGAGAGGAUGAUCAGUCACACUGGGACUGAGACACGGUCAAGACGCCUAAGGGAGGCAGCAGUGGGGAAUAUUGGACAAUGGGCGAAAGCCUGAUCCAGCCAUGCCGCGUGUGUGAAGAAGGUCUUCGGAUUGUAAAGCACUUUAAGUUGGGAGGAAGGGCAGUAAGUUAAUACCUUGCUGUUUUGACGUUACCAACAGAAUAAGCACCGGCUAACUUCGUG
rnacentral:rRNA from 1 species